rnacentral:snoRNA from 1 species
GUGCUUUAGGGAUGAAUAAGUCCCUCAUACGAAUAUCCAUCUAAAGCACUUUGUCAGUGGCCAUUUCUUGGUGGCUUAUUGAUCAUUAUGGGGUGGGAAAUGC